GGUAUAAUAGCCCCAUGUUAGUGAAGACUAUUUUAUCAGUGCGAACCUGUUAUUUGGGAGUAGUCUCGAUCACUGCGAUGGCAUUCUAAGCAUUCCACGCACGUGACAGUGAAUGGAGUAGCAGGAUGUACAUCUGUAUAGUGGUCAACUUACUUCACAUACUAAAAAUAAAACAGGACACAGAGAGCUGACACGCGGCCUGAUGGGAAGUGUUCUGUGUAUCAUUUGACGCGAGUCAUCGACACGUAACGUUCGCCAAAUCGACCAGGAGAAGAAAUUUAAACGUCUUUGUUUCAUGGCUAAGAGAAACACCGAAGAAUCACACAACAGCAGAAAUUCGUUGACAAACGUGACAACGAACGGCCAUAUUCCAACCGAAGCGGACAACAUCAGACGGCGGUACAGCACGUACCAGGGUUGGAAUGGCGAGAAAUCCUCCCUACAGUUAGCUAUAUCCGGAUUCAAGUACACCGGAAAUGACGACAAAGUCGUAUGUGAAACGUGCGGCCUACAACUGUACAACUGGCUCGAGUCGUAUGACGUGAUCGAAGUA